UAUUAGUUUGCAGAGUGAAAGGAAAACCAUGCACUUACAAGGCACAUUUGCCUUAUCCAAGGCAUUGUGUUCUAUUAAGCCUCAAAUAGUCAAUGGCACAAGUUUGAUAAAACUGCUCUUGUGACCCUUUGCCAUUUUGUUAAGUUUUAGACAUAAAUUUGAUAAAUUUGCUGGACCUUCCCCCUGUGAAUUUUAGUUUUGGGCUCAAAUUGGCUAAAACUGCUAGUCUUAUCCCUUGUGUUUUUUAAACUGUAGGCCAAAUUUGAUAAAACUGCUGGACUCGCCACUUGUGAUUGUUCAAUUUGAGGCUAAAAUUCAGUAAACCUGCUGGACUUUAUACCCCUUGCUAUUUUAAAAUUUUAGAUGCAAACUUAUUUUUUUCUUUUAAAUGUUUUUCUUUGUAGUGUCAUGAAGACUUCAAGAGAUCACCAGUUACAAGCUCAUAUGAAUCUGAAUAUGAUGUAGGCCUAUACCUAAGAAGUGUUUGUCAGCCACCAUUAUGAAGAUGUCGAAAGAUCACCAGUAACAAGCUCAUAAUGAUCUGAAUAUGGUAAAGGCCUAUAACUUAAAAGUGUCAUGAAGACUUCAAGAGAUCACCAGUUACAAGCUCAUCUGAAUCUGAAUAUGAUGUAGGCCUGUACCUAAGAAGUGUUUGUCAGCCACCAUUAUGAAGAUGUCGAAAGAUCACCAGUAACAAGCUCAUAAUGAUCUGAAUAUGGUAAAGGCUUAUAACUUAAAAGGUAAUACAUAUCUGAACGAUUG